rnacentral:pre_miRNA from 1 species
AGUGUGAUUGCUGGAUCAUAUGGUAAAAAGUAUGUUUAGUUUUGUUGGAAACUGUCAAAUUUUCUUUCAAAGUGAUUGUACCAUUUUGGCUUUCCCACCAGCAAU